rnacentral:rRNA from 1 species
CCAGUAGCCAUGCAGGCAAAUCCGUGUGGCAAUACGAAGACGUGACGCGGACCGAAAUAAAGUAGGGAAGCAUGUGAGCCAUGUGCCAAGAAAAGCCGCUAUAGAUCAUACCGUACCCGUACCGUAAACCGACACAGGUAGAUGAGGAGAGAAUCCUAAGGCCGACGGGAGAAGCAUUGUUAAGGAACUCGGCAAAAUGACCCCGUAACUUCGGGAGAAGGGGUGCCCACGCGAGUGGGCCGCAGAGAAUGGGCUCAAGCAACUGUUUAGCAAAAACACAUGUCUAUGCGAAACCGAAAGGUGAGGUAUAUGGGCUGACGCCUGCCCGGUGCUGGAAGGUUAACAGGAGGAGUCAGGCAACGAAGCUCCGAAUUUAAGCCCCAGUAAACGGCGGCCGUAACGAUAACGGUCCUAAGGUAGCGAAAUUCCUUGUCGGGUAAGUUCCGACCCGCACGAAAGGCGUAAUGAUUUGAGCACUGUCUCGACAAUGCACCCGGUGAAAUUGAAGUACCAGUGAAGAUGCUGGUUACCUGCGCCAGGACGGAAAGACCCCAUGGAGCUUUACUCCAGUUUGAUACUGGGAUUCGAUACUGAAUGUACAGGAUAGGUGGGAGGCUGAGAAGCGUGGACGCCAGUCUGCGGUGAGCCGCUGUUGGGAUACCACCCUUUGAGUAUUGGAUUUCUAACCUGCGCCCGUGACCCGGGCGGGGGACAAUGUCUGACGGGGAGUUUGACUGGGGCGGUCGCCUCCGAAAGGGUAUCGGAGGCGCUCAAAGGUUCCCUCAGAAUGGUUGGAAACCAUUCGCAGAGUGCAAAGGCAGAAGGGAGCUUGACUGUGACACCGACGGGUGGAGCAGGUACGAAAGUAGGACUUAGUGAUCCGGUGGUAUGAAAGUGGGAUUGCCAUCGCUCAACGGAUAAAAGCUACCCUGGAUAACAGGCUUAUCACUCCCAAGAGUUCACAUCGACGGAGUGGUUUGGCACCUCGAUGUCGGCUCAUCGCAUCCUGGGGCUGUAGCAGGUCCCAAGGGUUGGGCUGUUCGCCCAUUAAAGCGGUACGCGAGCUGGGUUCAGAACGUCGUGAGACAGUUCGGUCCCUAUCCGGCGCAGGCGUAGGAUAUUUGAGAGGAGCUGUCCUUAGUACGAGAGGACCGGGAUGGACAGACCGCUGGUGUAUCUGUUGGUGACCAACACCAUGGCAGAGUAGCCAAGUCUGGCAGGGAUAAACGCUGAAGGCAUCUAAGCGUGAAGCCCCCCUCAAGAUGAGAUAUCCCAAUAAGUAAGACCCCUUAGAGAGUAUGAGGUAGAUAGGCUUAAGGUGUAAGCAUAGUAAUAUGUUCAGCUGAUAAGUACUAAUAGGUCGAGGGCUUAUCUAA